UACUAUUCCAAGUACCGAUUUUCUUCAAGCCCUCUUUACUAUUCAAUUCGAUGAUGUCCAGGACAAAAUCAGAACGGAAACCCUGAUGGUCGAACUUGAUAAUACCCAUGGACCUAUGGUGCAUUGCGUGUGAUGUACGUGACAAGACUCAUGAUGCCUGUUAAUGAGCGAUGCGCAGAUCGCGCGGAAGGCGAGCCAGCAAAUAGUUAAUAAGUGAGUAUCCAUGAGGCCAGGUGUCGGUUGAUUCGCAGGAUAAUGGCUUGAUAUCGAUUUGCUGGGACGUAUCAAGAUCGUGCAAUGCCUUGGCGAAGAGAUGGACGGC